GCGGUUUUUGAUUGUAGUUUGGAUGGUUCCUCACUGUUCCGCGUCACUCCCAUUGUAUGUACUUUGAACCAUGUGGAACAUCUCACACCACAAGUUUUGAAGUGGUUCCCUGUACUCGUUUUCCGAUUGCUGCUGUAACCAGUGAUCAUAAAUGUGGUGCCAUAAAACAACAGAUUUAGUUUCUCGUACUUCUAAAGAUCAGAAGUCCCACAUAAAGGUGUCGGCAGGGCUGAAUUCCCUUUAGAGGACUCCUGCAGGGCUGUAUUCAUUUCAGAGGGUUAGAGGUAGGGUGAGGGAUAUAAAUUUGGUGCCAUAAAACAAUAUGGACUUACCUUCAGAAGCCUCACCUCAAGGUGCUGGCAGGGCCGAAUUCCCUUUAGAGGACGCCUGCCUUCCUUGGCUUUUCCUUCGUCUUCUAAGUAAACUGCACCCACCUCUUACCUCCUUCUCUGACUCUGACCUUCCUUCUUCCUUCUUACAAGGAUCUUUGUGAUGACCGUGGGCCCACCUGGAUAAUCCAGGAUCAUCGUCACCCCGUCUCAAGAUCCUUGCCUUCAUCACAUCCUCAAGAUCCCCUUUGCCAGAUAAAACAACAUUCAUGGAUUCUGGGGCAUUAGGACCUUCAGGGGCCACUAUUCAGCACCCCCAGUCACCCAGAACCCAUCGGAAAUCACAACUUCCCAUCAAGAUUGACUCAAAGGAAGGUUUAUACCUUCCUUUAUACCUGACUGUAUAGGAAGGUUUAUACCUGACUGUAUAGGAAGGUUCAUAGCAGCGUUAUUGCUCAGAGUUAAAAAGUGGAAAGAAUCCAAAUUAUCCAUCAGCACAGGAAUGGAUUCCUCAGUGUGUCGUUCCCAUAGCAACCAAGAUCCCCAAUGCCAAGAUCGUCUGCCAUUGUCAGUAGAAUAUUCGGUUUAAACGCAUUCGCUGCUUUUAAUUCUCAAGUCCUCAGAAGCAAACACACAGUGAGUAAAACCGCCAAAGAAUCCCUGGACAGAAAAAAACCCAAAAAACAAAAAACGCAGAAAUAAACAUCUCUCCCUUGGAAUGAAAAGUCGGCCUUUCAAACCAGGUUGCUGGGAAGGUGUGUGUAUUUUCCCACUGUAUUAGGAUUUAACAAAGGACGGCGUCCAGCUUUUGAAUCCUUUGGCCCCAAAGACUUGCCUAAUCCCGGGCGCCGCAGGAAAGUGGAACGCGCUGGCUUUUGGUUUAGAAAGUCGUGGUCGGCUCAGAUGCGGCUUCUCUACCUGAACGCAUGCAGGCCUCCACCUUCCCGCCGCUGGGAUGAUCGACCGCUACAGGACGUUGCCGGCGUCAGAAGAAAAAUACCGCCAAGAAGGAAAUAAAGGAGCUCGUGUGGAAAUGCAAGCCAUAAAGAAGCAGAAAAUGAGAACGCCUCAAGACGAAGAAAAACUGGAAUCGGGCUUCCCUGGUG